rnacentral:ncRNA from 1 species
UUGGAAGAAAAUUAGAAAAUCUUAGUCUGCCUAUUUAAUACACAGUGAUGUUCUGCCACGGAUGGCAGAACAAGGCUUCACGAGCCACGGAUGGCUCGUUGAACGCCGUUCACGUCACUCUGAGAAAAACGUAUCAGGCAGACUUAGAUUUUCUUAUUUUCGGAC